AUCCAACUGACGAGUCCCAAAUACGACAAAAUGGGCAUCUUGGAU
rnacentral:hammerhead_ribozyme from 1 species